CAGCAGCCACGGUAAUACAGAGGCCUCAAGCGUUGUUCGGAUUCAUUGGGCGUAAAGGGUGCGUAGGUGGCUUGGUAAGUUGAAGGUGAAAUCUCGGGGCUUAACCCCGAAACUGCCUUCAAUACUGCUAGGCUCGAGGACUGUAGAGGAGAAUGGAAUUCACGGUGUAGCAGUGAAAUGCGUAGAUAUCGUGAGGAAGACCAGUGGCGAAGGCGAUUCUCUGGGCAGUUCCUGACACUGAGGCACGAAGGCCAGGGGAGCAAACGGGAUUAGAUACCCCGGUAGUCCCUGUCUCUUAUAC
rnacentral:rRNA from 1 species